GACGAACGCUGGCGGCGUGCUUAACACAUGCAAGUCGGACGGUGAUGAGGGGCUUGCCCUUCUGAUCAGUGGCGAACGGGUGAGUAAACACGUGAGUAAACCUGCCCUCCACUCUGGGAUAACGUCGGGAAACCGGUGCUAAUACUGGAUACGACCUACUCGGGCAUCCGAUGUGGGUGGAAAGAUUUAUUGGUGGGGGAUGGACUCGCGGCCUAUCAGCUUGUUGGUGAGGUAAUGGCUUACCAAGGCGACGACGGGUAGCCGGCCUGAGAGGGCGAUCGGCCACACUGGGACUGAGACACGGCCCAGACUCCUACGGGAGGCAGCAGUGGGGAAUAUUGCACAAUGGGCGAAAGCCUGAUGCAGCGACGCCGCGUGAGGGAUGAAGGCCUCGGUUGUAA
rnacentral:rRNA from 1 species